rnacentral:lncRNA from 1 species
GGGGGGGUGGGGGUGGGGUCCCCUGGUCUUUCCGGCGCUUUAAAUCCGAAGGCGUCACUUACUACCGAAAACCAGGCCAAUGUCUCGGGAACAAAGCUGCUCCCACCCACUCCUGUCGAGCUCCCGACCCGAGAAAGACACAGUCAGAAAUAGAACACAAGCAGGGGGAGCAGGAGAGGGAGAAG